rnacentral:rRNA from 1 species
GUAUCAAUAAGCGGAGGAAAAGAAACUAACAAGGAUUCCCCUAGUAACUGCGAGUGAAGAGGGAAGAGCUCAAAUUUAAAAUCUGGCAGUGUUUUUGCUGUCCGAGUUGUAAUCUAGAGAAGUGCUGCCCAUGCUGGACCAUGUACAAGUCUCCUGGAAUGGAGCGUCACAGAGGGUGAGAAUCCCGUCUUUGACAUGGACUGCCAGUGUAUUUGUGGUGUGCUCUCAAAGAGUCGAGUUGUUUGGGAAUGCAGCUCUAAAUGGGUGGUAAACUCCAUCUAAAGCUAAAUAAUUGGAC